UACGUAGGGCGCAAGCGUUGUCCGGAAUUAUUGGGCGUAAAGAGCGUGUAGGCGGCUGGGUAGGUCCGUUGUGAAAACUCGAGGCUCAACCUCGAGACGCCGAUGGAAACCCUCCAGCUAGAGUCCGGAAGAGGAGAGUGGAAUUCCUGGUGUAGCGGUGAAAUGCGCAGAUAUCAGGAGGAACACCAACAGCGAAGGCAGAUCUCUGGGACGUUACUGACGCUGAGACGCGAAAGCGUGGGGAGCGAACAGG
rnacentral:rRNA from 1 species